rnacentral:rRNA from 1 species
CCUACGGGAGUCAGCAGUGGGGGAUAUUGGACAAUGGGGGAAACCCUGAUCCAGCGCCGCCGCGUGAGUGAAGAAGUAUUUCGGUAUGUAAAGCUCUAUCAGCAGGGAAGAAAGAAAUGACGGUACCUGAGUAAGAAGCCCCGGCUAACUACGUGCCAGCAGCCGCGGUAAUACGUAGGGGGCAAGCGUUAUCCGGACUUACUGGGUGUAAAGGGAGCGUAGACGGUAAUGCAAGUCUGGAGUGAAAGGCGGGGGCCCACCCCCCGGACUGCUCUGGAAACUGUGUAACUGGAGGGCAGGAGAGGCAGGCGGAAUUCCUAGUGUAGCGGUGAAAUGCGUAGAUAUUAGGAGGAACACCAGUGGCGAAGGCGGCCUGCUGGACUGUAACUGACGUUGAGGCUCGAAAGCGUGGGGAGCAAACAGGAUUAGAUACCCCUGUAGUC